AAAAUUAGAGUGUUCAAAGCGGGCAGAUAUUUUUCCUGCCACCGAAUACAUUAGCAUGGGAUAAUGGAAUAGGACCCUGACCUCCUAUUUUCAGUUGGUUUUGUUUACAGCGAGGUUAUAUCAGGGUAAUGAUUAAUAGGGAUAGUUGGGGGCAUUAAUAUUUAAUUGUCAGAGGUGAAAUUCUUGGAUUUAUGAAAGAUUAACUUCUGCGAAAGCGUUUGCCAAGGAUGUUUUCAUUAAUCAAGAACGAAAGUUAGGGGAUCGAAGACGAUCAGAUACCGUCGUAGUCUUAACCAUAAACGAUGCCGACCAGCGAUUAGGAGACGUUGAAUACAAAACACCGCCGUUAAUCCUUUCGGGGGUUAAUGGUUGGUGAA
rnacentral:rRNA from 3 species